UACAGAGGGUGCAAGCGUUAAUCGGAAUUACUGGGCGUAAAGCGUGCGUAGAUGGUUAUGUAAGUCAGAUGUGAAAGCCCCGGGCUCAACCUGGGAAUUGCAUUUGAGACUGCAUAGCUAGGGUGCGGAAGAGGGAAGCGGAAUUUCCGGUGUAGCGGUGAAAUGCGUAGAUAUCGGAAGGAACACCAGUGGCGAAAGCGGCUUCCUGGUCCAGCACCGACAUUCAGGCACGAAAGCGUGGGGAGCAAACAGG
rnacentral:rRNA from 1 species